rnacentral:rRNA from 1 species
AUAAACCAUGCGAGUUGUAUGGGAUANNNAAAUUUCCCAUGGCAAACUGCUUAGUAACACAUGAUCAACUUACCCUAUGGAGAAAUAUAACNUCGGGAAACUGAGGAUAAUGUUUCAUAGUUGAAUAGGCUUGGAAAAGUUUUUCAAUGAAAGGGAUAAGAAAAAUGGUUCUUAUCUGCCAUAGGAUAGGAUCGUGCUCGAUUAUGGUUGUUGGUGAGGUAACGGCUCACCAAGCCGAUAAUCGAUAGGGGCCGUGAGAGCGGGAGCCCCAAGAUGGGUACUGAGACAGCGACCCAGGCCUUACGAGGCGCAGCAGGUACGAAACCUCCGCAAUACACGAAAGUGUGACGGGGUUACCCAAAGUGUUCUUAUUGAACUGUGGCAGGUGAGUAAUGUCCCCUGCUAGAAAGGAGAGGGCAAGGCUGGUGCCAGCCGCCGCGGUAAAACCAGCUCUUCAAGUGGUCGGGAUAAUUAUUGGGCUUAAAGUGUCCGUAGCCGGUUUAGUAAGUUCCUGGUAAAAUCGGGUAGCUUAACUAUCUGUAUGCUAGGAAUACUGCUAUACUAGAGGGCGGGAGAGGUCUGAGGUACUACAGGGGUAGGGGUGAAAUCUUAUAAUCCUUGUAGGACCACCAGUGGCGAAGGCGUCAGACUGGAACGCGCCUGACGGUGAGGGACGAAAGCCAGGGGAGCGAACCGGAUUAGAUACCCGGGUAGUCCUGGCCGUAAACGAUGCAUACUAGGUGAUGGUACGGCCAUGAGCCGUGUCAGUGCCGUAGGGAAACCGUUAAGUGUGCCGCCUGGGAAGUACGGUCGCAAGGCUAAAACUUAA